GACUUUUAGACUGAGAUUUGAUAUGUUUUUUAAGAAGCAUCGGUGGAUCAUGUUCUUAUAAAUCUUAAUAUACUGCCGAUACUUUUUUCCUAAAAACUCGUUAAUGAUAAUGACAUUUUCCUGUUUACUUUUUAAAUUUUAAGCGGCACACCCAUUUAAAUCGGUGCGUAUAAAAGAUGCAGAAAACGAGGUGCAAUCGUGGACAUUUGCCAUUGCGAAAUAAUUUCUACACUAACAAUGUUCAAGCUGUACCUUUUUCUGGCUUUAGUAGCUUUAGCUGUUGCUGCUCCUAAAGCUGCUCCGCAGAUAUUUGGUUAUGGCCUAUACGGAGGAUACAACGGAUUAGGAUAUUCCUCUUUGGGAUAUGCUUCUCCUUAUGCAUAUGGAUAUGGAUAUCCUUCUGGAUAUGGAUAUAUAUAAUUUUUUUCUGUUUCGUCAAACACUGUAAGAAGUAUGAUCUUAAAAAACUUUGUAAAAUACAAGUCUACUUAGAAACCACAA